rnacentral:rRNA from 1 species
UAGGGAAUCUUCCGCAAUGGACGCAAGUCUGACGGAGCAACGCCGCGUGAGUGAAGAAGGAUUUCGGUUCGUAAAACUCUGUUGUUAGAGAAGAACAGCGCAUAGAGUAACUGUUAUGCGUGUGACGGUAUGUAACCAGAAAGCCACGGCUAACUACGUGCCAGCAGCCGCGGUAAUACGUAGGUGGCAAGCGUUGUCCGGAUUUAUUGGGCGUAAAGCGAGCGCAGGCGGUCAAUUAAGUCUGAUGUGAAAGCCCCCGGCUCAACCGGGGAGGGUCAUUGGAAACUGGUUGACUUGAGUGCAGAAGAGGAGAGUGGAAUUCCAUGUGUAGCGGUGAAAUGCGUAGAUAUAUGGAGGAACACCAGUGGCGAAGGCGACUCUCUGGUCUGUAACUGACGCUGAGGUUCGAAAGCGUGGGUAGCAAACAGG